rnacentral:rRNA from 1 species
GACGAACGCUGGCGGCGUGCUUAACACAUGCAAGUCGAGCGGUAAGGCCCUUUCGGGGGUACACGAGCGGCGAACGGGUGAGUAACACGUGGGUGACCUGCCCUCAGCUCUGGGAUAAGCCUGGGAAACCGGGUCUAAUACUGGAUAUGACUCCAUGGCGCAUGUUGUGGGGUGGAAAGCCUUGUGCGGCUGAGGAUGGGCCCGCGGCCUAUCAGCUUGUUGGGGGGUGAUGGCCUACCAAGGCGACGACGGGUAGCCGGCCUGAGAGGGCGACCGGCCACACUGGGACUGAGACACGGCCCAGACUCCUACGGGAGGCAGCAGUGGGGAAUCUUGCGCAAUGGGCGAAAGCCUGACGCAGCGACGCCGCGUGAGGGAUGACGGCCU